rnacentral:rRNA from 1 species
AUUGAACGCUGGCGGCAGGCCUAACACAUGCAAGUCGAGCGAGCGGCGGACGGGUGAGGAAUGUCUGGGAAACUGCCUGAUGGAGGGGGAUAACUACUGGAAACGGUAGAUAAUACCGCAUAACAUCAGAUGUGCCCAGGUGGGAGUAGCAAGUAGGAGGGGUAACGGCUCAUCUAGGCGAAGAUCCCUAGAUGGUAUGAGAGGAUGACCAGCCACACUGGAACGGAGACACGGUCCAGACUCCUACGGGAGGCAGCAGUGGGGAAUAUUGCACAAUGGGCGCAAGCCUGAUGCAGCCAUGCCGCGUGGGUGAAGAAGGCCUUCGGGUUGUAAAUCACUUUCAGCGGGGAGGCGUUACCCGCAGAAGAAGCACCGGCUAACUCCGUGCCAGCAGCCGCGGUAAUAC